rnacentral:misc_RNA from 1 species
GUGGGAGCAAAGGUAACCAGAAGGGGCGGUGAGUCCGAAGAUGAAACCGGAGAUGCCAAUGAAGAGGCAGGAGAGCAUGACGAAGAGGGAUCUGCGGGAAGCAAAGGACGGCGAGGAUAAGCGAGAGUGAAGGAAUUUGGGAGAAGAAGGCAUGGCUAGAAAUGAAACUGAAUUGGGUUUGGAGAGCUUAUCUUAGAUUUUAGCUUAUGAACAAGAAAGGAUCAAUAAGAGAGAGACCACUCCCCGUAAGGUCUUGCAAGAUUAUACUCUGAUAUAAAUUGAUAAAACUCAAACCUGAAAAUCGACUUGCAAAGGAGGGCGUCUUAAUGAUGUGGGAUCCUAACAAAUGGGUUGUUGAAGAUUCAGAUCUUGAUG